UACGAAGGGGGCAAGCGUUGUUCGGAAUUACUGGGCGUAAAGCGUGCGCAGGCGGUUUGUUAAGUCCGUUGUGAAAGCCCCGAGCUCAACUUGGGAAUUGCAGUGGAUACUGGCAGGCUGGAGUACGGUAGAGGAAGGUGGAAUUCCCGGUGUAGCAGUGAAAUGCGUAGAUAAUCGGGAGGAACACCAGUGGCGAAGGCGGCCUCUGGACCAGUACUGACGCUCAUGCACGAAAGCGUGGGGAGCGAACAGG
rnacentral:rRNA from 1 species